GACGAACGCUGGCGGCGUGCCUAAUACAUGCAAGUAGAACGCACAGGAUGCACCGUAGUUUACUACACCGUAUUCUGUGAGUUGCGAACGGGUGAGUAACGCGUAGGUAACCUGCCUGGUAGCGGGGGAUAACUAUUGGAAACGAUAGCUAAUACCGCAUAAGAACAUUUACUGCAUGGUAGAUGUUUAAAAGGUGCAAAUGCAUCACUACCAGAUGGACCUGCGUUGUAUUAGCUAGUAGGUGAGGUAACGGCUCACCUAGGCGACGAUACAUAGCCGACCUGAGAGGGUGAUCGGCCACACUGGGACUGGGACACGGCCCAGACUCCUACGGGAGGCAGCAGUAGGGAAUCUUCGGCAAUGGGGGGAACCCUGACCGAGCAACGCCGCGUGAGUGAAGAAGGUUUUCGGAUCGUAAAGCUCUGUUGUUAAGGAAGAACGAGUGUGAGAAUGGAAAGUUCAUACUGUGACGGUACUUAACCAGAAAGGGACGGCUAACUACGUG
rnacentral:rRNA from 1 species